rnacentral:rRNA from 1 species
CUACGGGCCGCUGCAGUCGAGGAUCUUCGUCAAUGGGCGAAAGCCUGAACGAGCGACGCCGCGUGCGCGAUGAAGGCCUUCGGGUUGUAAAGCGCGAAAGUGGGGAGAAAGGGAAACUUGAUCGAUCCACAGUAAGGACGGGCUAAGUUCGUGCCAGCAGCCGCGGUAAGACGAACUGUCCUAACGUUGUUCGGAAUCACUGGGCUUAAAGGGCGCGUAGGCGGUCCGACAAGUCAGGGGUGAAAUCCUGCAGCUUAACUGCAGAAGUGCCUUUGAUACUGUUGGUCUUGAGGGAGAUAGGGGUGUGCGGAACUCACAGUGGAGCGGUGAAAUGCGUUGAUAUUGUGAGGAACGCCGGAGGCGAAAGCGGCGCACUGGAUCUCUUCUGACGCUGAGGCGCGAAAGCUAGGGGAGCAAACGGGAUUAGAUACCCUAGUAGUC